rnacentral:lncRNA from 10 species
CUGCACCCCAUCAUCCACUCCAAUCUGUCCUCUACAUAGCGGCUAAAUAGAUCUUUAAAAGCUCAAACCUGCCUAGACAGUAACGCCUUUCUACCUUGGCCUGCCAUUUAGGGGUCUUUCUGAUGGAAUUCCAGCUUAACUUUCCAGCCUUACAGCCCCUGUUGGUCCUAGUUCUCUCUGGCCACCAGAACUCAUCUGCUUCCUCCUCCCACGAGAAACUGGGGAGAGAUGGAGACAGCACCCAAAGCCUGCUCUUCUUUAAGCUGUUUCCUCUCAACUGGGCUUUCCAUCGUGCCAUUGCUGGGCUACCUUGGCUUGGCCAAGCCCCAUCUCCUAUUGUCGCAGUGUGAAUACCAGAAGAAGCAAACAGCCUGCAGAUGGGACACUUAUUCACCCCUGAUGCAAGUGUGACUGGAGCUAUUGAAUGACUGAUGAGAUCCGUUGUAACAAUCAUUCUGGCAAAGGUGUGGAGAUGGCUCAGAGGAUUGAGCUGGGAGCAGGGUGGCCUCAGCCACAUGUGCUACCAUGGCUCUGAGCAGGGGCCUUCUUGGAUCAUUCAACCAGCAGAUGAAGAAAAAGAGGGCGAAUGGAGAAUUAUAUGUCAGAGAAUUUUAUGGAUCUUACUGGAGGGUAAAUUCAAUCCUGGUAACUUAAUUGUGGGCAAAAGUGCAAAUCUCCUGGCAUCCAAUUCUUACCAUAGAUUUCUGAUGUCUGGAAGCAUGGUGGAGCAACACACUUCUGAA